rnacentral:rRNA from 1 species
UACGUAGGGUCCGAGCGUUGUCCGGAAUUAUUGGGCGUAAAAGGCUUGUAGGUGGCCACGCCAAGUCGGAUGUGAAAUCUCCCGGCUCAACUGGGAGGGGUCAUUCGAUACUGGCGGGCUCGAGGCCGGUAGGGGGAAGUGGAAUUCCCGGUGUAGUGGUGGAAUGCGUAGAUAUCGGGAGGAACACCAGUGGCGAAGGCGGCUUCCUGGACCGGUUCUGACACUGAGGAGCGAAAGCGUGGGGAGCGAUCCGG